rnacentral:lncRNA from 1 species
CAGCUGUGUCACUGGGAUACCUUUGACGUUUCCUUAGUGCAAACAGGAGGCUGCCCAGGGCUUGGGAAGGAGCUAAUAUCAUUAGGAAUAAUCACACUGAGUGCGAAUUCCUAUUAGCUUUAUUGCAAAACAACCAGGCUGGACCCUACGUGAAUUACAUCUGGGAAGCCGAGCCCUUUCCCCAGGUCUGUCUGUUCCACUUAAUGUCUGUUUCCAACAAUGUUAUUCCAUUAC